UCACUGUGACUCUGACUGACACAGGUUUUUGUACAACUCACAAUCACUGUGUGAACACACUUUUACUGUUGAUCCAGUGGUAACUCUGACAGUAAUAAUGUCCAGCAUCUUCAGUCUGGACUCCACUGAUGGUCAGAGUGAAAUCACUGUUAGAUCCACUGCCACUGAAUCUAGAUGGAGUUCCUGACUGACGGCUGCUUGUAUAAUAAAUCAGGAGUUUAGGAGCUUCUCCAGGUUUCUGUAAGUACCAGGCUAAAUAAUAAUAAGCACCACUGUACACAUCUGUGCUGGUUCUACAGUUGAUCUUCACUGUUUCUCCUGGUUGAGCUGCUGUCGUUGAGGGACUCUGAGUGACGCUGAUCUGUCCUCUACACUCUGAAACACACAACAAGAAGAAAAUCAACUCAAAACUUUGACAAUAUACUUGAAGAAAUGAAUUGAUAUCAAACUUGUGCUCCACAAACCUUGAGCAAACGCUGUGAGAGUCCAGAUGAAGAUGAUGAUGAAGGUCAUGUUGAUGAAGAUUGUUGUGUGUGUCAGUGAUGAAGUGUUAAACUCACAGCACUAUAAACACUCUCAGAGCACUGAAGCAUCUGAUCAAUAUGCAAACACACUCACAUCAUUUACCUGGAGACAGCAGAUACACAGUUUUACUAUUUAAUAUCUUUUCUAAUAAAUUACUUUUAUCCAUUUUCAGAAACAAACACUCAUGAUUUAUCGCAUGUUAUUUAAUUAUUUAUUUCGGGUCGAGCUUCUCUCUCCAAACACAGUUUUAUGUUAAGUUUCAGUCAGUUUUUCACGCUGAGAUCAUUUAAUACCUGUGUUACAGAUGUGAUGUCAUCCAUGAUAGGUCUAGUAUGAUACUGUAUAACAGGUCAAAGGUCAUUCAAGGGAAUCACCAUCUAAAUCUUGGUCAUCACAAAGCUUUAAAUAACAGGUGUUUUGUAAAUAUGAUGAAUUUUGGGGCUGAUUUUGAAACAAAUGAUUUGAUUUUAGCUUUAAUGUAAUAACAAGGAUUUAUUAUUAAAGAUGAACAUUUAGUGCUGUUUUUUAUAAUAAUUCAUGAGUGCUGUUGAGAAGAGCUGCUGUUGAGUCUGAUAUCAGUGUGUGAGUCUCUUCUCUCUUUCUCUGCUGGAGUUUGUGUUUAUUUGAGUGUGACGGAGGUUUUUGUUCGACGCUUUCACUAGAAUGAAGCACUGUGGUACACUUUUGGUGGAGGAACUAAACUGACCAUCGCUGGUCCCGCAGUGAAGCCCUCCGUGUCUCUGCUGCCUCCCUCUUCUCUGCAGAUCUCUGGAGACUCAGCCGCACUGCUCUGUCUGCUCAGCUCUUACUCUCCACAGGGGGCGCAGGUGAGCUGGACGCUGGACGGGUCAGAGGUCACCGAGGGGGUUCAGACCAGCGCAGAGAGCGAGCGGGACGGACGCUACAGCCGCAGCAGCGUCCUGAGCCUCAGCAAAGCACGCUGGGAAGCCGGCGAGCGCUUCGUCUGCAGAGUAACACAUGACGGAGCUGAUCACGAGACCUCGUUCCUCAAGAGCUCCGAGUGCUGAUGUUUCUCCAGUGAAGAGCAGCAGGAUUCACAGCAGUCUCCUGAUUUACAGCUCAAUACUCAAGCAGUCUUUCAAUGUGCUGCCAUUGCUGUUCAUUCAAUAAAGCUUCUGAACGCCUUA